rnacentral:rRNA from 1 species
UACGUAGGGGGCAAGCGUUGUCCGGAUUUAUUGGGCGUAAAGAGCGUGUAGGCGGCCAGAUAGGUCAGCUGUGAAAACUCGAGGCUCAACCUCGAGACGUCGGUUGAAACCAUCUGGCUAGAGCCCGGAAGAGGAGAGUGGAAUUCCUGGUGUAGCGGUGAAAUGCGCAGAUAUCAGGAGGAACACCAAUGGCGAAGGCAGCACUCUGGGACGUGACUGACGCUGAGACGCGAAAGCGUGGGGAGCAAACAGG